UUUUCUAGCUGUAGAAAUAGUUUGUGUAUGUGUAAUUAAACUUUGUGCAGGAAUAUUUUCAACAGUGAGGUUUCACAAGGUCUGAAAGAUGGACACACAAAUUCCCUAUAUGUGUAUGUGACACUGAAGUUACAAGCUGCGAGUUACAAGCACGAAUUUUGACCCUGUAUCAGCACGUUGGCCACUAACCAUCCAAUCAGAGGAAGUCAAACUGUCCAAUCAGGGUCGUGUCUAGAUGGUAACCCUGGAUUUGCGAAACUCUCGCGAGAUUUGUAUGGGUUGUUUCUUCAUUGUGCACAUUCCUAAACCUACUCAAAUUGUUAAUCUCGCAAGAGUUUCCGCAAAUCUAGGGUUCUAGACAGGACCUCCAAUCCGGGGGCAAAAAGGUUCUAGAACGUGCUGGUUACUGACCGCUAUGCUAGCUUUGCCAGCCGGCUAGCCUGCCAAUCAUACUUACAGACCACGCUGUGAGUUUUUGCUUCGGGAUUUCACAUUAACUUAGUUCCAGUAGAUGCAACACAUGGGAUCAAAAACGUGAGCUGCCGUGGCUGUGUCGCUCACUCAGCGAGUCAGUUUAGUCUCUCCCUGCUGCAGCCAGCUCACAGCGGGGUCUGUGAGUAUGACUGGCUGGCUGGCUAGCUAGCGACCCCCGCAGGCGCUAGCUUGCUGUCGCGGCAGUUUGACGAACUUCUCUCUGCUGUUUUGGUGCAGGAGAGACUUGAAUCGCUGUCAAAACACCCUACAAGGGAACAAGGCAGAUAAGCUCAGGAAACAACAAUCUCAUAAGGUCAAGGCGGCUGCAGUUUUAUGAGCCAGGCUUCGCAGUUGCUGUGCACUGACUUCAAAAGGUCAAUGGGAAACAACUGCCUUUUCCCUGAUUCGAGUGGGGCUUGACCAACUAACUUCUGCAAAUUUGGCGACCAGAGUUGCAAGUGAAAUCCAGUCACAGUGCACUGAAAUUUGGAAAGGGAUCUAGCAGGAUGAAUACAUUAGUAGGAGGAGGAAUACAUUCUCAGCAGUCAGUAUCAGACAGGUGCAUGCCAGAGGGACUGCAGGUAUGUUCUCUUGUCAUGGUUCUUUGUCACACUUCUCUGCUUCAUCGGACAGAAGAUGGAAACGCUAAAAACUCUUGCCAAAUGUACUUCUUGAGAAACUUGAAGCUUAACACCAGAUAUUUAGACCUGCACCAAAAAUUUUAUUUAGUUUUUAAUGUUGAUUGAUUCUGGACAGUUUAAUAAAGAACUACUCACUG